UUACAAGCGAAGACAGGGAAGAGUACGAUGCCAUCCUGCUUUUAGAGAGGGAAAUCAAUAGCUGAAAGAUUUCCUAAGAGGAACAUCGGAAGGUCGCCCAUGAGCUUCUUCUGUGAACAGGUUUAUGCCCUAAUAGCAGAAGACGGAUAAAAUCCGUUAUCUUAUUUGAGAGCCAAUCAUUAGAUUGGAAAAAAGGUGGUACCGCGAAUCAACUCCAUUCGUCCUUUUA
rnacentral:ncRNA from 1 species